UACGUAGGGGGCAAGCGUUGUUCGGAUUUACUGGGCGUAAAGGGCGCGUAGGCGGCUUGUCAAGUCACUUGUGAAAUCUCUGGGCUUAACCCAGAACGGCCAAGUGAAACUGACAUGCUAGAGUGCAGAAGGGGCAAUCGGAAUUCUUGGUGUAGCGGUGAAAUGCGUAGAUAUCAAGAGGAACACCUGAGGUGAAGACGGGUUGCUGGGCUGACACUGACGCUGAGGCGCGAAAGCCAGGGGAGCAAACGGG
rnacentral:rRNA from 1 species